UUUAUACAAUGACUAUAAUUUCAAUAAUAAAUAUAAUUAAAGCACAUAAAUCAUUAUAUUCAUAAAAAAAUCAAAAAACUACAUAAUAUAAAGUUAAUUUAAAUACAUAACAACAUCUAAAAUCUCAUAGAGCAGCGAUCUCUCGUAGAUGCUGAAGUCAUCUUCGAAUGCAAGGGGCCCGACCCAAUUCUCUAUCCACAUAGUCCUCCAGUCCUGUAAGCUCGUCAGGACGUCAUAAUGUACGUAGCCUAGAUAGUUUCUGUACGUGCUGCGAGCGACUGUAUCACUCUAGGAGGAGUCAUCUACCCAAUACUACGACCAUAAAGCGAUCUAUUUGAAUAUGCUAGCAGCAAAUUCCGACCCGCANN
rnacentral:lncRNA from 1 species